rnacentral:rRNA from 1 species
AAAACACUGGCGGUCCCGCCGCGGCGCCUUCGCGUAGUAGAUUUACAACUCGCAUUGGGUCCCGGCGAAGGCCAGCCGUCAAACCCUCUAUUCUUAUGGUUUGACCUCGGAUCAGGUAGGGUUACCCGCUGAACUUAAGCAUAUCAAUAAGCGGAGGAAAAGAAACCAACAGGGAUUGCCUCAGUAACGGCGAGUGAAGCGGCAACAGCUCAAAUUUGAAAUCUGGCCGCCUGUGCGGUCCGAGUUGUAAUUUGAAGAGGAUGCUUUUGGCAAGGUGCCUUCCGAGUGCCCUGGAAUGGGACGCCAUAGAGGGUGAGAGCCCCGUAUGGUCGGUCGCCGAGCCUCUGUAAAGCUCCUUCGACGAGUCGAGUAGUUUGGGAAUGCUGCUCAAAAUGGGAGGUAAACCCCUUCUAAAGCUAAAUAUUGGCCAGAGACCGAUAGCGCACAAGUAGAGUGAUCGAAAGAUGAAAAGCACUUUGAAAAGAGAGUUAAACAGCACGUGAAAUUGUUGAAAGGGAAGCGCUUGCGACCAGACUUGUGCUCGUCGAAUCAGCC